rnacentral:tRNA from 1 species
UCAGGGCGUGGCGAGAAGAUAAGCACCUCACUUACACCGAGAUAACAUCCA